AGCGGAGGAAAAGAAACCAACCGGGAUUGCCUUAGUAACGGCGAGUGAAGCGGCAAAAGCUCAAAUUUGAAAUCUGGUACCUUCGGUGCCCGAGUUGUAAUUUGGAGAGGGCAACUUUGGGGCCGUUCCUUGUCUAUGUUCCUUGGAACAGGACGUCAUAGAGGGUGAGAAUCCCGUGUGGCGAGGAGUGCGGUUCUUUGUAGAGUGCCUUCGAAGAGUCGAGUUGUUUGGGAAUGCAGCUCUAAGUGGGUGGUAAAUUCCAUCUAAAGCUAAAUAUUGGCGAGAGACCGAUAGCGAACAAGUACAGUGAUGGAAAGAUGAAAAGAACUUUGAAAAGAGAGUGAAAAAGUACGUGAAAUUGUUGAAAGGGAAGGGCAUUUGAUCAGACAUGGUGUUUUGUGCCCUCUGCUCCUUGUGGGUAGGGGAAUCUCGCAUUUCACUGGGCCAGCAUCAGUUUUGGUGGCAGGAUAAAUCCAUAGGAAUGUAGCUUGCCUCGGUAAGUAUUAUAGCCUGUGGGAAUACUGCCAGCUGGGACUGAGGACUGCGACGUAAGUCAAGGAUGCUGGCAUAAUGGUU
rnacentral:rRNA from 1 species